rnacentral:rRNA from 1 species
AUUGAACGCUGGCGGAAUGCUUUACACAUGCAAGUCGAACGGCAGCACGGGGCAACCUGGUGGCGAGUGGCGAACGGGUGAGUAAUAUAUCGGAACGUGCCCAAUCGUGGGGGAUAACGUAGCGAAAGUUACGCUAAUACCGCAUACGAUCUACGGAUGAAAGCGGGGGAUCGCAAGACCUCGCGCGAAUGGAGCGGCCGAUAUCAGAUUAGGUAGUUGGUGGGGUAAAGGCUCACCAAGCCAACGAUCUGUAGCUGGUCUGAGAGGACGACCAGCCACACUGGAACUGAGACACGGUCCAGACUCCUACGGGAGGCAGCAGUGGGGAAUUUUGGACGAUGGGCGCAAGCCUGAUCCAGCCAUUCCGCGUGCAGGAUGAAGGCCUCGGUUGUAACUGCUUUUGUACGGAACGAAACGGGUACUGCCCUAAUACGGCAGGCUAAUGACGGUACCGUAAGAAUAAGCACCGGCUAACUACGUAGCCAGCAGCCGCGGUAAUCUGAGUCGGAG